UUCGUCACUUCCGGCAGGCGCGAGGCGGAAGCGAAGAGCAGCUGCGGCAGGGGUUAGGGAGACCGCAGGUCAGAGUGGCCCCGGGGCAGAGGGGCCGGGGUCUGAGGUGCUUUCGCGGGGACGCGAGGUACCCGGGGGUGGCAGAGGCUUCCGAGGAAAGACUGCGCGCGACGGCGAGCCCCCGCCUCCUGCCCCGAGGCCGGCAUCCCUGGCGGGUCCCGAGGGGCCUGGUGCUAGGCUGGGCUGGGCCGGCCGGGGGCUGCUCGCGGGCCGCUUGCAGUUACCUCUUGGUCCUUCUGGACUGCCAGGAGGAAAUGGUUCUGGGGACGGUGCCUCCACCUUCCAGCACCGUCAGUUACAGUGUUACCAUAGUCGCCGUUAAGGCGGGAAACGAUGAACUCGGGCUCCUGGACCCCAAGCCACCCCGAGGAAUCGUCUGAGCAACCCGGGAUGAGGAAGACAGACCCUUGGACUUUUGUUACCUUUGGGCUAUCGUGGAUAAUACUUCUAUGAACACGGACGUGCAAAUAUCAAUUCUUCUGGGCACAGAUAUAUUCUAGAAGUGGAGUUCCUGGAUCAGACGGUAAUUUUUAUGUUUAAUUUUUUGGGGAACUAUCGUGCCAUUUUCUACUGUGAAAGUCAUAGAUAUUUAAAUACCUGUAAUAUUUUAUCCUGCAUUUCUGUAGGUUAUUAGUGGGAGGCUAUGCAUGGGAUC
ensembl:lncRNA